rnacentral:rRNA from 1 species
GUGGGGAAUAUUGGACAAUGGGCGAAAGCCUGAUCCAGCAAUGCCGCGUGAGUGAUGAAGGCCCUAGGGUUGUAAAGCUCUUUUACCAGGGAUGAUAAUGACAGUACCUGGAGAAUAAGCUCCGGCUAACUCCGUGCCAGCAGCCGCGGUAAUACGGAGGGAGCUAGCGUUGUUCGGAAUUACUGGGCGUAAAGCGCGCGUAGGCGGUUUUUUAAGUCAGAGGUGAAAGCCCGGGGCUCAACCCCGGAAUUGCCUUUGAAACUGGAAAACUUGAAUCUUGGAGAGGUCAGUGGAAUUCCGAGUGUAGAGGUGAAAUUCGUAGAUAUUCGGAAGAACACCAGUGGCGAAGGCGACUGACUGGACAAGUAUUGACGCUGAGGUGCGAAAGCGUGGGGAGCAAACAGGAUUAGAUACCCCAGUAGUCC